UGGGCAGGUGAAAUGUCACGAGAGGCAGG
rnacentral:piRNA from 1 species